GACGUAGGGCGCGAGCGUUGUCCGGAUUUAUUGGGCGUAAAGAGCUCGUAGGCGGCUUGUCGCGUCGACUGUGAAAACCCGCGGCUCAACCGUGUGGUCUGCAGUCGAUACGGGCAGGCUAGAGUUCGGUAGGGGAGACUGGAAUUCCUGGUGUAGCGGUGAAAUGCGCAGAUAUCAGGAGGAACACCGGUGGCGAAGGCGGGGUCUC
rnacentral:rRNA from 1 species